rnacentral:ncRNA from 1 species
CGCUAGGGGUGCGGAAUGCUGAGAGAUGUUUUUCAUCGACCCUUAUUACUUGAACCGGAUAAUACCGGCGUAAGGAAGCGGUUU